UACGAAGGGGGCUAGCGUUGCUCGGAAUUACUGGGCGUAAAGCGCACGUAGGCGGCUUUCUAAGUCGGGGGUGAAAUCCUGGAGCUCAACUCCAGAACUGCCUUCGAUACUGGAGAGCUCGAGUCCGGGAGAGGUGAGUGGAACUCCGAGUGUAGAGGUGAAAUUCGUAGAUAUUCGGAAGAACACCAGUGGCGAAGGCGGCUCACUGGCCCUGUACUGACGCUGAGGUGCGAAAGCGUGGGGAGCAAACAGG
rnacentral:rRNA from 1 species